rnacentral:rRNA from 1 species
GACGAACGCUGGCGGCGUGCUUAACACAUGCAAGUCGAACGGUGAAGCCCCAGCUUGCUGGAGUGGAUCAGUGGCGAACGGGUGAGUAACACGUGAGCAACCUGCCCCUGACUCUGGAAUAAGCGCUGGAAACGGCGUCUAAUACUGGAUACGAGAAGGGUCCGCAUGGGCACUUUCUGGAAAGUUCUUCGGUUGGGGAUGGGCUCGCGGCCUAUCAGCUUGUUGGUGAGGUAAUGGCUUACCAAGGCGUCGACGGGUAGCCGGCCUGAGAGGGCGACCGGCCACACUGGGACUGAGACACGGCCCAGACUCCUACGGGAGGCAGCAGUGGGGAAUAUUGCACAAUGGGCGAAAGCCUGAUGCAGCGACGCCGCGUGAGGGAUGACGGCCUUCGGGUUGUAAACCUCUUUCAGCAGGGAAGAAGCGAGAGUGACGGUACCUGCAGAAGAAGCACCGGCUAACUACGUG